GUAGAGGGUAAUGGCAGACUUCACCAAAUCUGGGAUUAGAGAUGGCCAGAGUAGUCUUAGGGGAGAAAAAUGGCAUAUCUUGGGAAGCGCAUCAUGAUUUUACAGUAUCCAUAUUUAAAGUGCUGUCUUGUUAUGGCUGAAGUCCAAGCUCUGACUCUUGUUUACAUCAAUAAAAUGAGAGGAAGACAGUGUGGCUGAUGUUCGAUCUUAAAGAAGCAAAAAAGGUAUGAGUUUAUGUUGGAACUAGGUCAAAUUAGGCCCCACAAAGGGCUAAUUAUUGCAAAUCGCUGAUGGUACUAAGUUAGUUGUAAGAAUAAUCUAUUUUUUAUUCUGUUAAUAUUCAAUAUAAGCUAUAUCUUGUUGUUGAAGAUUAUGACCCAAUAUUAUAUCUUUGAAGAUCAAUGUAAAUCAGUUGUUCUCAACCUAGGGUAAUUUUGCCUCCUGACCCCCAGAGGAUAAUGGACAAUUUAUGGAAACAUUAUUACACCUCAGCAGGAAGAAUGUGAUCUGCCACUCUCCUCCCCCAGCCCACUACCACCACUGAAAGAAGACAGGACACUAUAGAAAAUAUCAGUCUAUGAAAACAUGACUGAGGA
rnacentral:lncRNA from 10 species